AUAACUAUUGGAAACGAUAGCUAAUACCGCAUAAUCUCUUCGGAGCAAAGAGGGGGACCUUCGGGCCUCUCGCGUCAGGAUUAGCCCAGGUGGGAUUAGCUAGUUGGUGGGGUAAUGGCUCACCAAGGCGACGAUCCCUAGCUGGUCUGAGAGGAUGAUCAGCCACACUGGAACUGAGACACGGUCCAGACUCCUACGGGAGGCAGCAGUGGGGAAUAUUGCACAAUGGGGGAAACCCUGAUGCAGCCAUGCCGCGUGUAUGAAGAAGGCCUCGGGUUGUAAAGUACUUUCAGUUGUGAGGAAGGCAGUUAAGUUAAUAGCUUAGUUGUUUGACGUUAGCAACAGAAGAAGCACCGGCUAACUCCGUGCCAGCAGCCGCGGUAAUACGGAGGGUGCGAGCGUUAAUCGGAAUUACUGGGCGUAAAGCGCAUGCAGGCGGUCUGUUAAGCAAGAUGUGAAAGCCCGGGGCUCAACCUCGGAACAGCAUUUUGAACUGGCAGACUAGAGUCUUGUAGAGGGGGGUAGAAUUUCAGGUGUAGCGGUGAAAUGCGUAGAGAUCUGAAGGAAUACCGGUGGCGAAGGCGG
rnacentral:rRNA from 1 species